rnacentral:rRNA from 1 species
UACAGAGGGUGCAAGCGUUGUUCGGAAUUACUGGGCGUAAAGCGCGCGCAGGCGGAUCCUGUAAGUCGGAAGUGAAAUCUCACUGCUCAACGGUGAGACUGCUACUGAUACUGCGGAUCUGGAGACCGGUAGAGGCUGGUAGAAUUGCAGGUGUAGCGGUGGAAUGCGUAGAGAUCUGCAAGAAUACCCCGUGGCGGAAGGCGGCC